rnacentral:lncRNA from 1 species
CGCCGUUACCCGUUGGGGGUGCCGCGGUCAAGGGCGGAGGAACUGUGCCUUGACCGGGGCCCCGCUGGUCAGUGACCGUGGGUAGGGGGAGCGCGGGUGAGGAUAGAGUUUCCAAGGGGUUUUCGGGAAAAAUUGAUUUAGAUGUUUUACAUAUUAGUUUUAAAUCCAGUUUUCAUAUUUAAUUCACAAAAAUUUAUAGAAAUGUCCAAAAAUAGUGAAACCAAUUUUGUUAGGUAUGUUUUAUUUUUAUUUAUGCAUUAAAAAUUCUUAAACCCUAGGAAAAGAUAAUAAAGUUUGGUAUUUAUUUAGUACCUUUAUUUAAAGUAUUUAAAUAAAUGCUUAAUCUUUAUAAAAUGAAUAAA